rnacentral:piRNA from 1 species
UCUGGGGACUCUGGGCUUUGAUC